CCUGUUAAUGAGAGUCAAAUAUGUGAACUUGCACAUAAUCUGAGUUGCAGUGAACAAAAUCAGAUUGGACUAUUUCAUUUCUCAAUUCAAUUGUCAUUAUUACAUUUUAUGAAUUUCAUUUUUGCAGGUGUCUGGAAAUGUUUACCAUUAACUUUGCCCCGCAGUUGGUGGGCCCUGUUCCUUUGGCUACUGGCUGUGGCGAUGGCGGGGAUGGCCGAAAAAACCUGAAUUCCGGCGAUGAUGAGCCACGACCAUCUGUCCCCAAAUUUUUAUUUGGGUGGCCUUUGAAGUGGUUGAUUCCUAGAAAGCCAAAAAAGUCCAAACGCAAUAGGAUUUCAUUCCCUCGAAAAAUACCUGAGGUUUCUCUCAAGAUGGAAUACAAGAAAAUCACUCCUGUUCCACCCAAGCAGUUAUUACAUGACCUUUGAGCCAUUGAACUGAAUUUCACAUUUUUGUAUGGAGCUCUUAAACUGAAUUUUGAAAGCACAUU